UGAAGCGCUUCAUAACUCCCAGCAGGAUUUGUUCUGGCAGGAAGAUGGAAUAAAUUAUUAAAACAGUGAUGGCGAGAUAUAGAGGACAGAAAGUAGAAGGGCCUGACUUCAAAUGCCCAAAACGCAUUUUUCAUACGGAGGCAAUGACAUAAGUUAACCUACUUAACAUGUGCUUAAAAUUAGUAAUUGUUGCAUCAGAUGACCACAAAAAUAUAUAAUAAAUUAUUAGAUAAACACUAAGCAAGACUGACCAUAGCGCAUCUGCACAGAGUAUGUGCUACUCCACGUCGCUUUAAGUUUCCUUUUCGUGGGCUGCACAGUAACAUAGCGGUUGGUAAGACUUGCACACCUCGACACAAAAUGAAGCCAGUUGCCGAUGCCACAUAACCGCUGAAGAGGUGCUUCUGGAGCUCGUUCUGCUUUAAACCAUCAGGGACGGUGCAAACUUUCGAACGCGCAAGGCGAGAGACGCUGGAGAGGAGGGGGUGCGCCUCCCAUUCCGAACGGGAGUGCGCACCAGGCGCUCACCUGCGAUGGAGUCCCACAGCGCCGGCAGAACCUGAGCAGACGGGGCUAUGGGAGAGACGGCAGCCGGCAAAGCUCCGGGAAGUGCGCUCGUCCUCACCUGGGUGCUCUUCACAGCAGCUGUCUCUGCGGAGGUGAAAUGUGGCAGCAUUUACAAAGGAUUUUCAGACUGCGUGUUGAAACUUGGAGACAGCAUGGCCAUGUAUCGGGAAGAAGACAGUGCUGAGCGCGGAUUGCAGAUAAUAUGCAGCCACUGGGAAACCUUCCAUACAUGUGCCACAGCUGCACUUUCAGAGUGCCAGGAGGAAGCAGGAAAGAUCUGGGAGACAUUGAAAGAAGAGUCUAAGAAAAUCCGGUUCCAAGGAAGUCUGUUUGACCUAUGCAGUCCUAACACGGCCCCAAGGCUCAUGGGGCUGAUCAGAUCUGGCAAUUUCUUGGUGCUUUUUUCUGCUACUCUAGUUUGGCUGGCACUUUAGAUAUGACAUUAGCUGAGUGUCCUCUUGGCCAACACCUCAAGGCUGCCAGCCAUCCCCUCAGUGUAGGGCAACAUGGGCUGCAGUGCACAAAACACUUACUUGAGCAGAUCUUCAUCUUGAGUCACAGGAACUGAUGCUCAUGAUCAACUCACUAAAAAUUAUGAGUAGCCUGACUAUUGACAAAUGGAUUUUCUGUCCAUAUCCUUAGAUAUUUAAGUUAGCACAAAACCCAGCUUGCCACAGACCUGCUCUCAGUAUACAAGCAGCUUAGAGCUCAAUUUACCAUGCUUUUAAGGUAAAAUACACAAUAUCUGUGAAAACAGAGCAAAAACAUCAUCAUAAAAUGUAAGCAUAGAACAGCAAUCAUUGAAAUAAUUUGUAGCAAAAUAAUAUGGGGGGGUUAAUCCUGGUUAAAAGUUGUAGUCAGCGUUAGAUUUUACUCUGCAGAAGAGAGUGACAGAAGUUACAGACGUGACUAGUUUUAGAAAUAAGGCCUGCAUAAACACAUAGUGGAGAGUGUCGCCUCUCCUGAACAGCAAAAAAGAAAGUGAGUGUAAAUGGGCAUGGCCGGGUGAGACAAGCUUACCCACAGCUAACAUAAAGCAGUGACUUGCUGCAACACUGGGAACAGCAGCUCCACUCUAGCUCUCCUUAUAGUCUGAUGUCCCUGGAUUUGUUUGUUUACUGAGCUCACAGUUAAUAAGAAACCUAUCAGAGUAGCAAUAAUGUUCUUAGGUGGUCAUGAUCUUUCAUUAUGAUUCUACAGGAGAUUUCAAUGCUUGGUUGCUUACUAGUAGCUUGUGGUAGUGUACAAAGAUGGUUACUUUUCAGACUGAGCUAUACUGUACCUUCAUUCAGACAGAUAUCUACAGCUAUUCUCACUGCAACAUGGACCGCAAAUGUUGUAUACUCAACUGUGGUCAUGUUGCCAUUUUUUACAAUUUUAUUUCUGCCUUUGACUUCUUAGUACAGAUUGUCAUGCUCAAAGCUGUGACUUUUUGUGACCAUCAAGGUAUAAGGAAAGUAAAAUCUCCAGAGGUUGCCCUGGGCCAUGUAAUCCUUAUUUUGCAAAAACAAUCCAGUUAAUAGUGAAAAAAGGGCCUUCAAUUCCCUUUGCAGUGUACAAGCAGUCUAAAAACAUAAAAUAAAUGGUGAACAAAGCAAUCACUAUAAAAGUAAAGAAAGACAGUGGCUGUUAAUUAAUGUAUUUAUUAUAGUGAGAAUCACAACAGCGAAUGAAGCAAUAGCCCAGAUCCGUUUGUUCAAGCCCUUUUGUUGCCUCUCUACCUUCUUCUCAGGCUAUAGUAUGUCCACACUACUGCAUUUUCAUUUAAGAAUGUUUUUUUUUUUAAAAAAAAACAA